GACGAACGCUGGCGGCGUGCUUAACACAUGCAAGUCGAACGGAAAGGCCCUGCUUUUGUGGGGUGCUCGAGUGCCGCACGGGUGAGUAACACGUGUGUAACCUGCCCUUGUCUUUGGGAUAACUUCAGGAAACUGGGGCUCAUACCGGAUAGGAGCUCCUGCUGCAUGGUGGGGGUUGGAAAGUUUCGGCGGUUGGGGAUGGACUCGCGGCUUAUCAGCUUGUUGGUGGGGUAGUGGCUUACCAGGGCUUUGACGGGUAGCCGGCCUGAGAGGGUGACCGGCCACAUGAGGACUGAGAUACGGCGCAGACUCCUACGGGAGGCAGCAGUGGGGAAUAUUGCAGAAUGGGCGGAAGCCUGAGGCAGCAACGCCGCGUGCGGGAUGACGGCCUUCGGGUUGUAAACAGCUUUCGCCUGUGACGAACCGUGAGUGACGGUAAUGGGUAAAGAAGCACCGGCUAACUACGUG
rnacentral:rRNA from 1 species